rnacentral:rRNA from 1 species
GUCCUCUUGAAUUUAAUUUGAGGUCUAGCCUGCCCACUGAAAUUAUUUAAAUGGCCGCAGUAAUUUGACUGUGCAAAGGUAGCAUAAUCAUUAGUUUUUUAAUUAAAAGCUUGUAUGAAUGGUUGGACAAAGUAAAAUCUGUCUCUAUUUAAUUUAUAAUAGAAUUUAAUUUUUAAGUUAAAAAGCUUAAAUUUUUAUAAAAGACGAGAAGACCCUAUAGAUCUUUAUUUAGAUUUAUAUAAUUUUAAUUUAGAAUUUUUUAUUAAUUAUAUUUUUUUAAAUUUUAUUGGGGUAAUAAAAAGAUUAAAAAAAUUCUUUUUUUAAUAUACAUUGAUUUAUGAAUAAAUGAUCCAAUAUUUUUGAUUAAAAGAUUAAGUUACCUUAGGGAUAACAGCGUAAUUUUUUUAGAGAGUUCAUAUCGAUAAAAAAGUUUGCGACCUCGAUGUUGGAUUAAAAAUUAUCUUAGGUGCAGAAGUUUAAGAUUAUGGUCUGUUCGACCAUUGAAUUUUU